CAAUAUAAAAUGCAGACAAUUAGAAUUAGCUUUAUUCAAAAUAAACACGCACUAUGACAUCGGCAUCUGUUUCUGAAGCACAAUAAAUUUAAAUUUUUACACAGUACAUUUUUACACACUACUGUUUAUAUACCGGAGAUAUGUGAAGGUACUUUUCGAGAUCAAGAAUGCAUACUAGUGUGUUUUGUCAUAUUUAACGAACGUACAUGGUUAGGAGACUUUUUUUGUUCUAGGUUAUCAUGUAUAUCUAGAUAUACAGUAGGUUAUCAUGUAUAACUAGGUUAUCAUAUAUCACGGUUAAUAAUUCUUUUGUGAUGCUAUUGUUUUACAUGCAUCUACUAAAGUGGUUGAUACGUAGUGAAAGAGCAUGAAGUGUUUUGGAUGCUGGUUGGUGCACAAUUUUUAAGCACUCAAAACGAAUUGCGAUAUUUUACAUGUAAUAAACAUGUUUCAACAGAGGAUGUUUCUGUUCCAUCGUUUAGUCAUUUCUAACAAGUCUUAAAAACAUUUUGUGCAUGUUCCAACCUCGUUCAACAUACAUGUUUGUCAUUCUUCGAUAGUAUAUUUGAAGUUUGUCGGCUUGCCUAACCAUGUCAUUGUAUUAACUAUAUAUGGUUUUACAUAAUAUUUGGUGGGGUUCAGUCAGUGAGCUCUAUAUAUAUCUCGAGCGAGAACUCGACUGCCAGAAAGUGAAGCCAACUUCGAGUUAACCGCGCAGACAAAAACAAUAGGAGCUGGAACUGAAGUCCAAAAGCUCUUCAAUUUCCGCCUUGGCAAGGAGUGUGCCGAAAUUUCGCAUUUUGACUUCGAUUUAAAGACUAAUAUCAUAUGAACUGAAAACUUAAUUAGCAAUACGGUCCGUUAGAAACUGGAUUUAGCUGGGAAAAUUGUAUAAAAACUGUUAACGACCUUCAGAGCGAUUAGACGUCAAUUGCCGCCAUCAUCAAUGGCUUACUUCUCUCAUAGGCCGAAUGACUGAAGUUCUUGCUCCAGGUAUAUAUAGAGAGCUCACUGGUUUGAGUAAGCAUUGCAGGGCAGCAAAUGGCAGUGAACUUCAGAAAUGUUAACAUUGAGAGGCACUGGAAAUUAGACUAUCGCCUGUAUUCUAAAAGCUCACUCACACUCAAAGAGUGGAGGUUCAAUCUGAGCUUCCCUUGACUGGCAGUGCAGUUUUUGAAUAGCUGGAGGUUGACGCCUGUAUUCUAAAAGCUCACUCACACUCAAAUUGUGGAGAUUCAAUCUGAGCUUCCCUUGACUGGCAGUGCUGUUUUUGAAUAGCUGGAGGGUGACGCCUGUAUUCUAAAAGCUCACUCAUACUCACACUCAAUGAGUGGAGGUUCAAUCUGAGCUUCCCUGAUGUGUCAAUGCUGUUUUUGAAUAGCUGGAGGGCUAGUGUCGUACCUUACUAUGUGACUACUCACCCUCCAGUUAUUCAAAAACAGCAUUGACACUCACCAGAAGCUCAGAUUAUACCUCCACUCUUUGAGGGUGAGUGUGCUUUUACAAUACAGAUGUUAGUCUCGUACCUUAUUAUGUGACUACUCACUCUCCAGCUAUUCAAAAACAGCACCGCCAGUCAAGGGAAGCUCAGACUGAACCUCCAUUGUUUGAGUGUGAGAAUACAGGCGUAUUUCUCUCACACUGUAGUUUGAUAGGAACUGCCGCCACUCCUUAUCAUCUCCAUAGUCAGCGAUAUUUAUCAGAAGUCUGACCAUCUGCUGCACGAUCGUGCUUCGUGAAACUCGCCUAUGUUCCGUACAUUCUCCUAUUAUUCACCGAGUGUAUCUUUAGACUCCACAUUUACAUUUGGUUAAUAAAUAGAAUUUGGAUGAGGAGAUGUCUAUAAGUUUGAUACAAACAACAUUAUUCAUCUUUCUGGCUGUGAAGAAAUUCUCGAGUUCUUACUAUCCCGAAGAAAUGGAUGCUUUAAAGCCUCACUGGCGGUAAUCCUAGUCGCAGGGUUCAAAUCCAGACACCUCUCUAGCAGAUCAUAUGUCGAAAUCGGGACAUACUCUGGACACGAGCCGCAAUCACACACACAGCGGCUUCCAUCAAGAUGCUCUCGGGAGGUCCCACUUCCGGUCUGAUCACGUGGACAAUCUUCGGAUUUUUCCGAAAUGGGAUGAUCGCCUUCCGACAAAAACCGAGCUUUUGUUUUC
rnacentral:lncRNA from 1 species